GGCAAGGUGGCCGAGCGGUCUAAGGCGGCAGAUUUAAGUUAAUCACUUAAACCUCUGCUACUCGUAAGAGUGCGUGGGUUCGAACCCCACCCUUGUCA